rnacentral:rRNA from 1 species
CUGCCCAGUGACUCUGUUCAACGGCCGCGGUAUCCUAACCGUGCGAAGGUAGCGUAAUCACUUGUUCUUUAAAUGAGGACUAGUAUGAAUGGCAUCACGAAGGUUACACUGUCUCCUUUAUCUAAUCAGUGAAACUAAUCUUCCCGUGAAGAAGCGGGAAUAAAAAUAUAAGACGAGAAGACCCUAUGGAGCUUUAAACACACUGAUAAUUGCCUUGCACACUCAACUUCCAGAAAAACAACUAAAAUUCAGGCACUAUAAUCACAAGUUUUAGGUUGGGGUGACCACGGAGCACAACAAAACCUCCGUAAUGAACGGGAAUUUUUCCCCUAAACCAAGGGCCACAACCCCCAGAAUCAAUAAAUUGACAUAUAUUGACCCAAUACAUUUGAUCAAUGAACCAAGUUACCCUAGGGAUAACAGCGCAAUCCACUUCAAGAGCCCCUAUCGACAAGUGGGUUUACGACCUCGAUGUUGGAUCAGG